rnacentral:misc_RNA from 1 species
AGAAGUCGUAGACUUCUUAAUGUAGUGUUCACACAAUUUGUUUUGUUUAUCUUAAUAGAACAAUGUUCUUUAACAAUUUGGAAAAGCUGAUAUUAAUUAUAUUCUAUAACGAUAUAGUAACUGAGAGAGUUUGAUAGUGUUUCUUAGCAAUAAGUUAAUGUUAUCCAACGUCUAAACUACUUUAUCUGACGAACUGUGAUUAGCUUGUCACCAUGCAACGAAGCUUGUGCAUUUAUGCUCAAGUGGAAUGAAUAAACCGAAUGCUUAAACAUGCCAACUCUCAUGUGUUGGCGCAUACAAAAGGCGGUUUAGGGUUGUAUGAUUAAGUGACUAAGCGUAUACGGUGGAUGCCUUGGC